UUGUGCACCAAUAUUUGUUGUGAUGGGCUCCUUCUUUUCCGAUUUAAAAGACCAUCACCAUGUAACGUGAUUUUUUUUCGGUUUCAACAAGUAUUUAAAGAAAAGAACCCUAGCCUUUCCUCAUUUUUCUCCCUCUCUCUCUCAGCCGCGUGAUCUCUUUUUUCUCUCUUCUCUCUCUCCUUCCUCAACUAUAUGUUCUCGCCAGAGAUCAUCAAUUUCGGCCACCACCUCACAACACCAUCACUACUUGUUGAAUCGGGACCGAAAUCUGCUCAAGAUCCAAGUUCAAAGUCGCUAAACACUGCCUUCGGCCUCCGCACGCGACAUCUUAGGCCACGACACCACUGUUCCUUUUCUUUUUCUGAUUUUCGGCCGCCAUCUCACAACACCUCCACCACUGCUACUUAGCAGACAAAGAGGAAUAAAAAUAGAAAUCCCCUUCCUCAACCUACGCCGGACGACUGCCGUAGCUCUGCCUUAGGAAAAAUGGGCAAGUCAUCGUGUGAGGAUCAAAACCUCUUGCUCUCAUAGUGUACCACCACAAAUAUGCAUCACCAUCUAGAAAAUCAACUGCUAAUCGCAAUUUCAUGGCAGCGAGACAACCUAAUGAAUCAAACACUCUCUCAGCAGCACCCUUUAGCCAUCGCCUAUUUUAUGGUUUUUUCGUUCCUAGUUAGAAGAUUAGUUGAGGUCAGGCGUGCAGAGAAGGCAUAGUGUCCAACACUUCCAUCGUUGUAGGUUACUAUUUAACCUACUUAUGUAAUAUGUCUAUCUAAUCCUUAGAUUGCUCUGAUCACCAGAUUAUUGAAUUGUGUUGUAAAGUUAAGCAUUUGGAAUUUGCGAUCUUUGGGUUAAAAUCUUGUUUACAGGUUUGAUGUUUGAGUACUUUUCUUAGGGAAAGUUCUACCAAAUUUUUAGUAGAGUUUCUCUUAAGUUGGGAUAGCAGGGACACUUCAGAUUUCAGGGUAACAUCCAUGACAAGUCUUGUUAAUGAUACACCGGCUCUGGCUCCAGCCUCUCUGCUAGCAGUUGCUGUGAAUCGUCCCCUCGUAUUAGUAGAGCGACAUCGAGUUUCGAGGUCACACCAUCGAUGGAGGCCAUUUGGAUGUUAGGGAUGAAGGGGAUCAGAGGAAAAGAGAGUGAACAAGAUAAAAAAGGGGAGAGAACGGUUGGAGAUGGAUUAGAGAAUUUGAUCUGGGUUUGGACAGACUAACGACCUUGUAGCUGCUAGAAAACAACGAGAGAGAAGAAACGCUUUCCUAUGUAAGGUUUUCAAUAACUAGAGGGGACGUUUUUCUAAUUUGUGCAUACAUAUCACUCCUUUCAUCACAUUCAUUGAGAGAGAAAUAUGGUGGCUGAUGGUCUUACAAAAGAAAGUACUGACCAAGACUUGGGUCUCUGUAAAAUGCCUACUGCCCCUUCAUUACUCAAGUUGUUCUUGAUGACA